rnacentral:lncRNA from 1 species
AUUUUCUGGACACUGAGAGACUGGAUAUUCACCAGGACGAGAGGAACCAGGCUAACUGCUCCUCACUACUGACCCACAGCUUGAUAAUGAACCUAAACAUUGACAGCAUUUCCUUUGGUGGUUUCGUGUUAAAAUGAAAAUGAAGAAGAGGAAAAAGUACUAUGGACCUCUGCUGGGCUGAGUGGCACACAGUGAAGUUGCAGUUAAAUACAGUGUAAGCACAUGGCUCUGUAGAAUCAUAUCUAACAAUAAUCAGUCUCAUCCAUGUUUACGUUUUUUG